ACUUCCGGCGUAGCCAUGGCGGCUAACGCUACUACCAACCCGUCGCAGCUGCUGCCCUUAGUUGGUGAAGAGUGAUUGAACUAGUGGUCGUGGCCGUGAUUGAAAAGUUUUCAUUCCUUCAUGCCACAGACUCUUUUGGAAGGCUCAUUAUGUGCCAGAUGCUGUGCUUGAACUGAGAUUUGUAUUAUAAGACCUAAAAGCUUGUGGACAAAUGUAUAGGAUCAAGAAUUCACAUCGUGAUGAAGAGUGAUAAGGAAAUUGUUGGUACUCUUCUAGGAUUUGAUGACUUUGUCAAUAUGGUACUGGAAGAUGUCACUGAGUUUGAAAUCACACCAGAAGGAAGAAGGAUUACUAAAUUAGAUCAGAUUUUGCUAAAUGGAAAUAAUAUAACAAUGCUGGUUCCUGGAGGAGAAGGACCUGAAGUGUGAAUGAGUUUCCUUGACUUACACUAGAUUUUGUUUUGGCUUAUAAUGACAAGAAAAUGGAAUUUUUUUUCCCACUUUCUAAUGUUUAAAUCCCAUAAAGCUAAGUUUCCCGUUAAAGGGAAGUGCUUUGAAGAUGUGUACCCAUUUUUGUAAGUUAAUCAUGAUUAUCCUGGAAAAAGAAGAAAAGAGCUUCUUCUUUGCAGAUGAAAAUAAAGGUGUUUUUG
rnacentral:lncRNA from 10 species